CGCUAGGUGGAUCUGCUCUCGUGCGUUAGACAGUGUCAACUGUAAUGAAGGGCGGGAGGGCACGCGAACUAUCAGUAUGUCGUAUAAAGAAUAUGAAGAUAAUGUGUUAUCGUUAGCUAAAGACUGGUGCUCAGAUGUAAACAGUGAAACAUUUACUUCUUUGCUUCAAGAAUUGAUUUUUCAUCUCAGUGGAAAACAUAAAGAUGAAGUGUUCCGUCUGUUUCAAAAGCAAUUACAAAAGCUUAGACAAGGAUGUAGCUAUGAUUCACUGGAUGAAGCUGAUGAGUUCAGCAUAGCAGAGGAAAUAAAAAAUAAAAUUGCAAGUAGUCAUGGAGAGAGAGAAGCAAAUCGUUUCUCUGGUAUUUACCGGCAUCUUCGAGGAUGUACUCUUCUAACCAACUUGAGAAACACCUUGGCCUUCAUGCAGAGAAGCGCUGUACAAGAAUCAGCGGAUGAUGCAAAUUCAUCAUUUGACUCACAAAAUUUAUCAUUGAGAAAUAUUACUAUUCGUAGUUCAUCACAGGCUUCACGAACACCAUUUGCAUCAACAAUUCAAAGACACCCAGACAUGUUUGACACUGUGUCAUCUCUUCCAUCCAAUUUUGCUUCUAACACUUUAUCAGAUGCUUACCAUUCAUCCAGAGCCAUUUCAUAUGCUCAUGACUUGCCACAAGGAACCAUUGCUCACCUAAAUGGGUGUCCAGUAGUAAUGCCUGUACCACCACCGUCCAGAAACCCCUAUAAGAUGUCAGUAUCAGAAACUGUCUUGAUCCAAGAACUGAUAUAUUGCUUUCAAGGAAUAGGAGGAAAAAUCUUAAUAGAGGAUCCUGUCUCUCAAGGCUUCAAAAUAGAUCCAAAGGUGGACCUCCGUCCAUCGGUCCGGCAGCAAGUACUCCGUUUGGCGGAGGUUGGGUGGCUGCACAACCAAGUGCGACAGUUCUGCGAUGCUACGAGACCGGCUGGACUUGUUAACCAGAGCCUAGUAGCUGCCCUACAUGAUGAACUGACAGAAUACUACAGAUUGAUUGCUGUACUGCAGUCUAGGUUACAGAAGCAGUCAGAGGCUGUAGUCGAUUCACCGCUAGCAGAAGAGCAACUGCCAUCACUGACAUUGAGUCAAUUGGCAGUAUGUGUACGGAGCCCCACACUGAGGUUGCAGCUGUUGCUGUCACUGGCAGAAGCAUGCCGUGGUCGUCGUGGUGGUGCUCUAGCAUCCUGUGUACAUAGUUUUUUGCAGCACGGUGAUCCAAAUUUACGCCGUAGUGUACGCACACUCUUGGCAGCAGUAUGUCGUCCCAUGUAUGUAAUGCUAAGUCGGUGGAUUUUGGAUGGGGAAUUGGAGGAUCCUUAUAAUGAAUUCUUCAUAGCUGCAAAUCCUGAUGUGAAAGGAGACCGCUUAUGGCAUGAUAAAUAUUAUGUUCAGGAAGCUCUUGUACCAAGUUUCAUAUCUUUGGCACAAGCUCGCAAAAUUCUUGCUACAGGCAAGAGCAUAAACUUCCUUCGUGAAGUGUGCCAAGACCACACGCCUAUAAAAGGCCGUGAAGCCCUCAGGCUCGCUUUGGAAAGCACCAACGUGGAAGCACUCUUUGUUGAGGACCAGGAUGGAGAGCUGCAGGCAAUGCUAGAACAAGCUUACCGUGAAACGUCUCGUCGUGUUUUGGAUGUUCUCAACACUCAGUACAAAUUCAUGGAUCACCUGCAAGCUUUAAGGAGAUAUCUCCUGCUGGGGCAAGGGGACUUCAUUAGGCACCUUAUGGAGUUACUUGAACCUGAGUUGGCAAAGCCUGCCUCACAGUUGUAUCCUCACUGUUUAUCGGGGAUCCUGGACUCUGCUGUUCGUUCUACUAAUGCCCAGUAUGAAGAUGAAGAUAUUCUUCAGAGGUUGGAUGUGAGAUUACUCGAAAUGUCAAAAGGAGAUACUGGUUGGGAUGUUUUCACAUUGGACUACCAUGUUGUCGGUCCGAUAGGAACAGUUUUUGCUAUGAACAUGUCUUCCUACUUGAUGCUGUUCAAUGCUCUUUGGCGAGCAAAACGAAUGGAAUUUGUGCUAAGUCUGGCUGUCAAGCGACAGCUAACAGCUGCUAAGCAGAUGAGAUGUCUGCCUGGAAUGAAGCCUUUAUUGCAGAGAUUACAUCUCCUUAUCUCUGAAAUGGUGCACUUUGUACAUCAAGUGCAGUACUACACACUAUUUGAGGUGCUGGAAUGCUCCUGGGAGGCAUUCAACAAAGAAGUCCAGCAAGCAGAAGGCUUGGAUGAUGUCAUUAGAGCACAUGAUGCGUUCCUGGCAACAGUUCGUGCUGGGGCUUUCCUAGAUGAAGGAACACAGAGUUUGGCAGCCCAACUGCGGUCUGUGUAUGACUUGAUGCUACAGCUCCAAGGCCUAGAAGAACAGCUACACAAUAGAGCAUCAGUGGAGCUGGAAGCUCGUAAAGAGUAUGAGAAGCUAGUUGAAAAGUCUGGCACAAACAUAUCAAUGGAGGAAAGGGAAUCUACACGAGUUAAUGAAUUUACAAAUAAAUACCUGCCUCACAUGCGCACUCAAUUGAGUGUACUGGCUAAAAGCUAUCAGGAUUUGGUGAAGAAGUUUCUGCUCAUGUUGACAAGUCAACCAGAACUAACAUUGCAACUGUUGAGUUUCCGUCUGGACUUCAAUGAGCACUAUCGAAGAUCAGAUUCAAGGCUUAAUGCACCUCUUACAUACCAGCAUCGUCGUCUCAGUGAACUGGGAGGCAAGCAUCUGUCUCCAACAUGCGUCAAAUGACAGUCAGCUCCAGUACCUUCUGCUGAGCUUCAGAAGGUAAAGACCAACACAUUAACCUGGGAGAACCCGACGCAUUGACCUAAGAAACCCAUCUUCAUUUCCACAUGUAUUUCAUCUUUCCGAGUUUGCCAUUGGACACAAUAAUUUGGCACAAAACACCUGCACAUAAUCAGUCCUUGUACAGCACUGUUACUACCAUCUGCUACUGGAACCACCAUCUUCCCCAACACUGAAAGAUACACUUUCAGUUUUUUACCCAUGGCACUACCUCCCAAAAAAGGAAAAUAAACUGCUCUUUUUUGUGAGUGAAUAUGGUGGAUUGAUGAACCAGUGGCAGAUAAAACAUUGAUGCUUUUACUGUAGAUUGUGAUCUGUACAAAAAUCUCUCUAUAUUUUUGUACUGAAAUCAUAAGUGAAGCUGCACUUAAGAAGAAUGCUGCGAACCUGCUAAUUUUUGGCUCUCACCAAAAGGAAAAAUCACUGUAUCUUGUGUACACACAUGCCUCAAAUUCAUUUAGGGUUUAGUAUUGUUCAUUCAUGUCGGGUCUCGUGCUUUUGUUAAUUUCCAUCCCUUGUCAAAUCAUGCGAAAUUAGUUAGUUAUGAUAAAAAUGUAGUAUGUAAACUGUAACACAGUGUUAACUGUCGACAGAAAAUUCUGCCGUUUGAUAUUACUCAGUAGCAAGUAAGAUUUUAUGUUGUUACUUGUUUGCAAUCCUGAGUUAUCUCUUUUUGAACAUCUACAAUAGUCUUCAAUUUUCUUGUUUCAGAUCUCUGUUUCACUGUGAUGUGUAAGGCUGAUAUUUACCAGAUACUAUUUAUUUUUCUUUAUCCAGUAUGUUAGACAUUAGUAGCAUUUUCUGUAUCUGUUGAAUUAUAUUUUAUUUUAAAUUGUAGUCAUUUAUGUUGAUAUGUUUCUUGUUUUUUAUUUAAGAAUUUACCUCACUGUUGAUAAUAAUUUAAGGUCACUAAAGAAAUGUUUCUGUUAUUAUGUACAUUCUUUCUUUCUUUGAACAAAUUCUGUUUUUCUAGUGUCAGGUACUGAUAAUGUUGUUUUUCUACUCCUUUGUAAAUUCUGUAUUUCAAGUUUUAUAUUUUCUGUAUUUAAUUUGCUCAUGAAUUGACAGUUUUUGUGGAUUUAUGAUAUUUUAAAAACUCUUUCAUUUUUUUAUGACGUAAGUAGUCGUUUCUUACAGUAUCUGCAACAGCUACAGUUGCUGCUUUGACAAAGUAUUGUGUUUUUUUUGCCACAAUGCCAGCUAUUAUGAACUACGUAAGUGAAAACUUCUACUGGUAUUCCUUGCACUUCGUAAGCUCCAACAACCCCCUUGUCUAGUUCAUUAGAAAUCCAGCAGUCCUUCCCAGUUGUUAUUACACAUUCCCUUUUCUACAUCCUUAAGAUGUUCAUUUGUUUCCUUUCUAACUUUUUCUGCUGAACUUCUUGUCAUGUAUUUUCCCCAGUACCAAUUUCUUAAAUAUUCCAAUUUUCUCUUAUUUUCUCUAUCUCGAGAUGCCUCAAGCUUGAUACUCUUAAUAUGUGCAGAGGCAGUUUACCUAUAUCGCACAGGACUUGCAGCUAUAUUGCACAGCUUUUUGGAAAAGUUAACUUUUAACUGUUGUGAAUUGAAAGUAAAAAUACUGUUUGGAACUAUUUGUGCAUGAUUGUGUAAUAUUUUUAAACCAUUGUAAAUAAUUGAUCAUUGAAAUGUAUAUAUUUUCACAUGAUUGAAGAAUCAGUUCAUUAUUAUAUGAACUUGUCACAAUAGUGCCAACACAUUGUUUGCUUUACUUUGUUAAC